rnacentral:rRNA from 1 species
GCCUUGUACACACCGAUGUAACGCCUAGAGAUAGGCGCCCUCUUCGGAGCAUUGGAGACAGGUGGUGCAUGGUUGUCGUCAGCUCGUGUCGUGAGAUGUUGGGUUAAGUCCCGCAACGAGCGCAACCCUUGUCCUGUUUUGGCAUGCCGAAAGGCGCAACUAUCAGGAGACCGCCAGCGAUAAGCUGGAGGAAGGUGGGGAUGACGUCAAGUCAUCAUGGCCUUUAUGUCCAGGGCUACACACGUGCUACAAUGGACGGUACAAAGCGCUGCCAACCCGCGAGGGGGAGCUAAUCGCAAAAAACCGUUCUCAGUUCGGAUUGCAGGCUGCAACUCGCCUGCAUGAAGCUGGAAUCGCUAGUAAUGGCAUAUCAGAAAUCCGUGCGCUCUACGGGUCUUGUACACGACCG